rnacentral:lncRNA from 1 species
UAAGUUUUUUUUUUUUUUUGAGACAGAAUUUCACUCUUGUUCCCCAGGCUGGAGUACAAUGGUGUGAUCUCAGCUCACUGCAACCUCCGCCUCCUGGGUUCAACCGAUUCUUCUGCCUCAGCCUCCCGAGUAGCUGGAAUUACAGGCACCUGUUUUGUGGGUAAUUUUUAUGCAAGAACUAUGAGCACUCCAAAGGAGGUUGCUAUGGUUUGGAUAUUUGUGUCUCCCCAAAAUUCAAGUGCUUAACCUAAUGAUCAAUGUGAUAUUAGUGGACUAUUUAUAUUUAUUGUUAUAAUGGUUUUGCUUUCUCUCUCUUCUUCUUCUUCAUGUCCCCUUGAAGGUUUAAGCUUUUAAAAUACCAAAACCAAAAAAAAAAACUGCCCUUUUUUGUAGUUUUGCUAAAAUUUUGAGAAGGAACAUUAGAUGUAUAUGUCCAAUCAACCAUCCUGACCCAAAAGUGCCCCAUCCUAAUUUACAUUAUUUAUUUUUGUCUAAAAUAUUCUGGUUUUCAUAGAUACUUUUCCAACAUGGGAAGGGUUUUAAAAACUCUUUCUCCUUUUUUUAGUCCUUGCAGCUCUUUUUUAUAAACAUUUUUAACACCUCUAUUAAAGCAAACUUGCAGUUCUCAACAAAGUGUUUUCCACUGAUGUCUGCUAAAAUGGUACUUAGGAGGUAAAGUAUGUAAGAAUAUCCUUCUGAUGCAAUUACAUUUAAUAUCCCCAGAAGUAGCCAGUUUUAGGCAUAUUUGAAAGGAAUCUGUCUUUUCUACUCGGGAGGUUGAGGAACUUUCACCUUCUUUCUCAUUCUUCUCAUUUCUAUUAAGGGUUUGGGGCUGAGGAGGGUUUAUGGGGAUGUUGAAUUACCAGAUCUAAGCCCACCACUUCAACGCGUUGAUCUCAUUCGAUUCUUACAAGUGGAGGGAGAAAGGAUGGUUUGUCAUCACCCUUACUUUAUGGAUAAGGAAACCAAGAUAGCAUGGCUUGGCAAUUUAUCCAGAGAAGCAACAAGGACCCUUUUCCACUAGGAGAACUCUCGGCAAGCAGGACUUGAGACGAGCGGAGUCCAGCUCCCCUGGAGGUCCAGUAACAAGUCAGGCUUCUGUGGGGAGCAAGGCAGUGGCAGGGAAGGAGGGGGAGUAAAUGGAAUCAUUGGAGAAAGCACAUUCAGAAAGCCAUGGCCCAUGGGUUUUUAGGAUGUGGGAUCACAGGGUGUGGGGUUUGUCAGAAGCCUGGCUCCCUCUCCUCCUCCCCUUGGGGUGGUCUCUGGAGAGUGGGGGAUGCCAUGACACCAGCAUUAGUGGCUCUGGGCUCCGUGAGGCGUGAGUUCUGGGAUUCUCGGGGAUGGUUUAUGGGAUGGUCACGGAGCACGGUGCUUUGAGGCUGGCUCUGCGUCCCUGCCUAGUUAACUCCGGCCCACACAGGCCACGUGGUGUUUAAUGGGGAGGGAUGGAGACGCAGCAGCAGGGCUGGGGCCUCCGGUGUGGACCCCCCGCAGGCAGGGAGGUCCCUGGAGGAAUUCUUCUUUAAUGUCUGGCUUAACCAAAGAUGGCUGGAUUCUCAACUCUGCUUCCACAUUCAAUCCCUUGUAAGAAUUUUUUUUUUUCUGUCAAAGUAUGAAAAAUUGCAGACGCAGCCACCCACUCAUAAGUAGCUGGAAGAAGACGCAGUGUUCGAAUAAUCUUUUCGGAUAACUGUGGAUGCACCACGUAGCCUCUGGGAAACUCCACCGUACACUCGUGAGAGAAUGAGAGCCAGAAAGACAAUUCCUGUAGUAUUAAUGUAAAAAUAGAUUUGUAAAAUAUUACCUACUUUUUAAUAUUAUCAUUAUAUUAUAUAUUUUUUUUAUGUUAUCAAGGGUUGAAUCUGUCCCGUGAGAUGUGUGUGACCCGUAUCCUUAGCGGGCUUUCUUGAGGGCUUCUCUGCCUUAGAGGAGGGAAUUGAGGGUGCCCAGAGGCAGAGGCCCUGUAUGGAGCCAGCUCAUGAGUGAGCACUUUUUCCAGCAGGGCUGCUGGGAGCUGCCUGGGAGCUCUGGCACUGGAGGAGCAGACCUGUCCUUGUUUGUGAAGCUCUCAGCCACGGCCCUCCAGCCAGCGCUCUGCCACGGCAGGAGCGGGAGAAAGGCUUCACCUUGGCCAAAACCAGCGCGGUUUUCUUCCCUUGGUUUACUUUGGUCCAUGUCAGAGAGUCUUUAUUUCUUUUCUUUCAAACUUUCUCUUCCUUCCUCGUUGGCACUGAUUCUCAAAGUAUGGUCAAGGAACCCCUGAGGGAACCCCUUCCAGAUCAAAUCUAUUUUUAUAUUAAUACUAAAGGAAUUGUCUUUCUGGCUCUCAUUCUCUCACGAGUGUACGGUGGAGUUUUCCAGAGGCUACAUGGUGCAUGCACAGAUCUGAAAAGAUUGUUCAAAUCCUGCUUCUUCCUCCAGCUACUUAUCAGUGGGUGGCUGGAUUUUUUUCACACUUGGACCAAAUAAAACAUCUUACAAGGGAUUGAAUGCAGAAGCAGAGGUGAGAAUCUAGCCAUCUUUGGCUAAGCCAGACAUUAGAGAAGUGUACAAAAGGUAAAACCAUGUCACUCUCCCUUCCCCUCAGUCUUUUAUUUUGGAAAGCACAGUUAUUUGUCCUGAAAAAAAAAAAUGUGUUAUUUAUGUCAACAUGUACUAGAUACAUAAUUAUUUUAAAAUAUAUAAUUUUUUUAAAAAUCCUGUUUUAAUUUCAAAUACAAUAAAUAUCAACAGAUAAAGUGUAUAUAAAAGUAAAAGCUCUUUGAGAAUCCUCAGUUAAGUUUUAAGAAGAGGCCUUGUGUAUUAGUUUCCCAGAGCAUCUGUAACCAAUUGUCACAAAUUUAGUGGCUUAAAAUAACAGAGAUUUAUUCUCUCGCAGUCCUGGAGGCCCAAAGUCCAAAAUCAGUACCACUGGGCCAAAAUCAAGGUGUCAGCAGGGUGCUGCUUCUUCCAAGGGCUCUAGAGGAAGGUCUUCCAGGCUCUGGGGGCUGCUGGCUUAUUGGCUUGUGGCUGCAUCACUCCAGUCUCUGCCUCCGUCCUCACACAGCCCUCUCCUCUUCUCCAUCUUAAGUCUCCCUUUCUCUUAUAAGGACACGUCAUUGGAUUUAGUGCUCACCUGAAAAACCCAGAAUAAUCUCAUCUGGGAUCCCUAAUUACAUCUGUAAAUGCCUUUUUUCCAAAUAAGAUCCCAUUCACAGAUUCCAGGGAUAUGGAUGUAGACACAACUUCUGAGGGACCGUUGUGUAGCCCACCACAUCCUGCAGCCAACCAAUUUGAGAACUGCGGCUCCAUGCCCUUCCUCCAAGCAUCAGCAUCCCACUCCCCAGUUUGCUUUUUAAAGAGAUAAUCGGGGAUAAAGAUCACAUCCGGUGAAAAUUCAACUGCCAUCUAGUUUAGAUUUUCCCCAUGCCCCUGUGAUAGCGACGAGACCCUCUGCCAUCCACUAUCACCCUGGCUUUCUUAGGAUUUUUCUGGAAAUAUUCUGCCUUAUCCUGUCUCUUCUUAGGCUGAAGUGGGUGACAGGCCCCCAGGCUGCCUUCCCCUUGGGAGCCUGGUUGGGUCGCAUUGUCUCCUCUACUGAAGAAAAAAGAAAUUACAACCCAGAAUUUCCCUGGAUAUCAGACAACUCUGUCCAAAUGUAGUUAGGAUGACUUAAAUGAAAGAGGGUCAGGAACAUAUGGAAUACAUUCUUUUAAAAAUAAACAUAGGUUUUAAGAAGAGUGAAUGGGAAAGAGAUUCCAGACAAUGAGUCUUAGGUUUUUUGCUAAGACCCAAAAUGUCAAUCAGGAUUAGAACGAAGUGUCAGCUGACUCCUUCCUCCCUGGUCCAUGGGGGUAGUGGUUAACAGCUCGAAUUCCAGCGGCGGCCUUCUUGGGUUCAAGUUUCAUUGCUAUCUUUAAUCUAGAAGAUGGCCAGCCUCCUGACAGAGGGCAAAGAUGAUGAGACAAAGCACAUCCUGUCUUGUUAAGCUUUCAAGUUCAAGUGAAACACAUCAUUUAUGCACACAUUUCAUUGGCCAAAAUAUGUCACAUGGUUACACCUAAGUUCAACAGGGUUGGAUGGCAUCAUUCUUCCAUGGAGGAGGGGAAGUAGGGUGACGGGGAUGGCAUACGUUGGUGAACAGUGAUACGCUCUUCCACUGACCCUAUAAGCUGUUGUAGGGAUCACUGAGGAUGGUGCCUGGCAUGUCGUUCUUACUAAAUAUUAUUACACUAUUCUUUUUUGCCCAGGAGAUCCCAACAAGUAGAAACAUCCCCUUCUAGUCCUCUCCAGAAAGCCACUGCAGCGGGGGCAAAACUCUACCGAUGCCCCUUAGGGUUGUCAGCUGGACCUGAGAAUUAAAUGGAUAUAAGACAGAUUCACAGGACAAAAGCAAACAACCUUAUUUAUUUAUUUAUUUAUUUAUUUAUUUAUUUAUUUAUUUUUGAGAUGGAGUCUUUCUCUGUCACCCAGGCUGGAGUGCAGUGGCACGAUCUUGGCUCACUACAACCUCCGCCUCCCGGGUUCAAGUGAUUCUCCUGUCUCAGCCUCCCGAGUAGCUGGGAUUACAGGUGCGUGCCACCACACCCAUCUAAUUUUUGUAUUUUUAGUAGAGACAGGGUUUCAUCAUGUUGGCCAGGCUGGUCUCGAACUCCUGACCUCAGGUGAUCCACCUGCUUCAGUCUCCCAAGGUUCUGGGAUUAUAGGUGUGAGCUGCCAUGCCCGGCCCAAACAAAUUGAUUUAAUAAAUUUUAUGGGACACAGGAUCCUUCCCCAAAAAUGUAGCAACCCCUAAAUGUUUUUAUACUAGGUUGAAUAAAGAGAGGCUACCUCUUUUGGAAAAGGCACUAAAAUAUAUGGAGAAGCUAAAGGAAGAUAUAAGUGAUUUUAACAAGGUCAGUUUGUACACAUUUCUCUCGGCCUCGCCUCCCCAUCUCUGGUGUUGAGAAUGUUUCAUUUCUCCUGGUGGAAAGAGGGCAGCUCCUGCAUGGGACUUUCGCCAGGCCUGGCCCCUUGGCUCCUCAAGCCUCAUCCCCCACCAUGCCCCCUUCACUGUGUGCUCGAUCACUGGGGCGUGCUUCCUGAUCUUCCACCACCCCAAACCUUUCCCGACUCCCUUGCUGACCCCUCUGCUGGGAGACUCUCUCCCUUCUUUGCAUAGUUGGUCUUGGUAUUGUUUCUUCGGCCGCUGCAACAAGUAUCCCAAACAAAAGCAAUCUCUUCUUUCACAGUUCUGGAGGCCAGAAGUCCGAACUCAAGCGUGUUUCCCUCUGGAGGCUCUGGGGAGGGUCUGCUCCAGGCCUCCCUUCUAGCUCCUGGGGGUUGCUGGCCACCCUUGGUGGUCCCUGGCUUGCAGAUGACACCUCUGAUCUCAGCCUCUGUCUUCAUGUGGCCUGCUCCUUGUGGAUCUUGCCAUCAUCUGUCCUCUGUAUGCGCCUGCCUCUGCGUCUCUGUCCUCUUUGUAUAAAGACGCCAAUCAUAUGGGAUUAGGGCCCACCUGAAUGCCUUCAUCUUACCUCGAUCACGUCUGCAAAGACCUUGUUUCCAAAUAAGGCUCCAUUCGCAGAGGCUACGACUCAGUGUAGCUCCUUUGGGGACAGAGUUCCACCCAUAGCUGUCUGUUCUUAUCGUGCAGGUCUCGGCUCGAAAGUUAUCUCCUUGGAGAUGCUUUCCUUGAUGACGCCAUGGCAGGUCUUCUCAGCCUCCACACGGGGGACGUUUGAGGCUCCAUCAUUCUUUGUGGUGGGGCUGUCUUGGGUGUCGUGGGCUGUUUAGCAGCAUCCCUGGCCUCUAACCACCAGAUGCUGGUAGCAUCCAUUUCUCCUCCAGCACCCCCAACACACACAACCAGAAAUAUCCCCCUGGCUGGGAGGGGGCACAAUCACCCUAGAUGAGACUCAACUGCUGCUCAAUGAAAUGUGAUGUUUCCCAGACCUUUUCUUUUUAUUCUCCCUCUUUUUUCCUUCCUUCUUUUUUCCUUUUCUUUUUUGUAGCACUCAGUACAAUCAGUAAUUUUCUUGUUUAAUUAUGUCUUCUGUUUAUCAUCGGUGGAGGUUUUUUGUUUUAUAUUUUGUAGAGGUGGGGUCUUGCUAUGUUGCCCAGGCUGAUCUCAAACUCCUGGCCUCAAGCGAUCUUCCUGCCUUGGCCUCCCAAAGCGCUGGGAUUUCAGGCGGAAGCCAUCAUGCCUACCUAAUUUUUGUAUCUUUACUGGUAGAAACAAGGUUUGGCCAUGUUGCCCAGGCUGGUCUUGAACUUCUGGCCUCAAGCGAUCCUCCUACCUCGGCCUCUCAAAGUGCUGGGAUUCCAGGCAGAAGCCACGGUGCCCAGCCCAUCGGUGGAGGUUUGAAAUGCGGCUGCAUGUCCAUGUCCUUUGACAGUCGUUUUCUCUUUCCAUUUCCCUCCCUUCAGACCCUUAGGCCCUCUCUCUCUCCUCUCAAUACAUGUGGGAGGAGGAAUGAGAGCAGGCAGCCGGGAGACCCGAAUCAAGGCUCAGUCCUUUCUUUGCCUCCUUAACCCCCAGUGGUCCUCCUGCUUGAGUGAGCCUCAGAAUCCCAGGGGAGCUGAUGGGAACAGACCGCCGGGCCCCACCUCUGCCUUUCUCCCUCAGCGGGUCCGGGUUCCCGUUGAGAAGCCACAUUCCUGUCGAUUCCCGGGGGAUACUGUUGAUCCAGGGACCGCACCCUGAGAACCAUGAUUCUGCUUCAAUUCAUAAGCACCAAUGGUUUACAUUCUGGGCUAUUCCUAAGUCCUGCCUGCUUUUUUCUUUUUUUUUUUUUUUGGUGUGUGUGGCAUUUUUCAGAUAGAAGAAUAGCAGCCCCGAGAGUAUAAUGGAGUUGCUGGUGCAAAUCCCUUCCCCAGGGCUGAGAAUUGAGAAGCUGCAGCACAGGGGCAGCCCGGUGGCCUGGUGUGCCAGGGGAAUGCCACCCACAGCUCACCUCCUCGGAGCGAUGCCCCACCGGCAGCCUGAGUGGCCUUUUCUUGCAAAGGCUCAUUAGAGGACACAGUGACAGGUCUUGCCCGCACCCCAGGAACUAGGUCAACUAGACCUUGCAUAUGCUUACACCCUGGAUGAAUAAAGUCUUUAUUUACACCUCCACCUCUCUCCAAAAAAAGAAUUUGAGACAGCAUACAACAAAGAGCAUCUUUCAAUAAUAAUUAAAAAGAUUAGUGUGACAGAAAUGGUAAGUUAGGUCCAGUGAAAACAGGAGUAAGUAUGCCAGCCCUAGGAAUGAACAAUAUCUACGAUGAAGCAUCUGAUUCAGCCCUGAGCUUCCUGGUAGUGAGGUCAAAAAGAGAAACACAGGAAGUCUCAUCUCUCUCACUAUAGAAAGAAGGAAACAGCAAUUCCUUAGUUUAUUUCUGAUACCAAACUCUAAAGUAAAGUAAAUUCUUAUGUUGGGCUUUAUAUAAGGGAUAUGAAGUUACAGGUCUCUUUAUUUUUAUUUUUUAUGAGGCAGAGUUUUCACUCUUAUUGCCCAGGCUGGAGUGCAGUGGCACAAUCUUGGCUCACUGCGACCUCCGCCUCCCGGGUUCGAGUGAUUCUCCUGCCUUAGCCUCUUGAGUAACUGGGAUUACAGGUGCAUGCCACCACGCUUGGCUAAUUUCUGUAUUUUUAGUAGAGAUGGGGUUUCACCAUGUUGGCCAGGCUAGUCUUGAAUUCCUGACCUCAGACCACAAGCAGGUGAGUGUGACAGGCCCGAAAGGUGCUCAUACCCUUGCAGGGGCUCAGAUGUCCCGACCUUGGACAACGGCACUGGUUUGGCUGCCCAGCUCGAGCUUGCCUGCCUGUGAGGUCACCCCACAGCCUGGGUAAUGACAUUCCAGCGUGAAGCCACAGGCUGCUUUCUCUGCCCCUAUCCAGCAGUGGCCAGCCCCAGAGUCAAGGACAAAGCCAUUUUUAGAAGAGUGACUGAGAAACGUUUUGGCGGCUUCUCCAGGUCUGCCAGGACCUGCAACGUACCUCAGGGUCAAACUGGAAGGUAUUUGCAGUUCAUAAAACGGACACGAGGCAUCUUAUUACCAAUGUUAUUCUUGGAUGGAAAUUAUAUUUCAGAGACACUGGAGACCCAGGUAUAGAAUCCCUGGUUCACAGACCUUCUCCCAGCUAGUGUGCGAUGAGCAUGCUGCAGGGUCGUUAAUUGAAUGGUGAACAGGACCAGGGUUUCCCAGGGGGCUCACAAAUGAGCUCAAAGAGAUGCUUUGCGGGGUUUGCCAUGGCUUGGGUGUGGGGAGCCACCUGUGAGUCUUGGUUGGAGUGGUCUGUCUAAGCUCACAUCCAAAGAAUGCACAGAACUUUCCAGGUGAUGCAGGACAGAACAGGCAUCCCUAAAAGAAAAUGGCAUGUGCAAAGGCCCUGCAGCAGGAGCAUGCAGGAAAGAAGGCAAGGUUGUCUGGGCCCAGAAAGGGACAGGAGUGUGGAGAGGUGGGUAGGGGCCAGACCCCACAGGCCCUUGCAGCCACGUUGAAAAGUUUUGCUUUAUUCUAAAGCCAACAGGAAAUCAUCAAAAGGGGUUAAGGGAGACUGGAGCUGGGGGUGGGAGGGCGUUCACUUUAUUGAACCCACUUUUGGAAAGAUCACU